AGUUCAGUAAUGUGACCUGAUAAAACAUUUGCAAAGAUAAAUCCUGCUCUUUAGAUAGUGUGAAUUGCUUCAUUUGUACUACUAUGUAGCAGUUUUAAAUGACCUUCUCUACUUUGUUGUCUUUGAAGACAACAUCAAUAAAUCUUGCAGGGUUAUAUGGCCCGCGCUACAACGAAAUGCAUCUCCAUGGGCCGGCUAAGCUGUGAUUGAUCGAUGCCGUUGCCGAGUUCUUUCAUCGUUCGCCGUUCAAGUGAAGGAGGGAGGAGAAUGUGAAGCUGAACGCGAAUGCAGGUGCGGUGCCUGGGAAGAGAAAGAAGAUUUGCUUACCGUGAAGACGCUUGUAAGGAUGCAGCGGGAGCAGAUCAUUUGGAGAGAUAGGAUGCCACAGUUUGGUCUUUAUAUGCAUUUUGGUUUGCUUGUAACUGUGUUUGCACUAGUUGGUAAUAAGUGACUUGGCAAGAACUGUAGGUGUCGGGAUAUGCUCUAAUGCCCCUGGUUUACUAUAAAUCUUGGAUUUGUAAUGAUGUGUAAUGCAUAGAAUGGAAUUUGGGGAUUUUAAUUUUUUAAAUUCGUAAUUAGUUAGUAGUAGUGUGGGGGAAAAACCGUGCGCUGCUAGUAUCCUAGAUACUAGUAACGUGUGUUACUAUAGAAGCGCUGCUAGUAUCCUAGAUACUAGUAGCGUGUGUUACUUAGAAGCGCUACUACUAUUUUGGUAGUAGCGCGGGUUUAUCCGCG